rnacentral:rRNA from 1 species
CCUACGGGUGGCAGCAGUGGGGAAUAUUGGGCAAUGGGCGCAAGCCUGACCCAGCAACGCCGCGUGAAGGAAGAAGGCCUUCGGGUUGUAAACCUCUGUUAAGAGGGAAGAGCAGAAGACGGAACCACUGGAAUAAGCCACGGCUAACUCCGCGCCAGCAGCCGCGGUAAUACGGAGGUGGCAAGCGUUGUACGGAGUUACUGGGUGUAAAGGGCGGGCAGCCGGGAUGACAAGUCAGAUGUGACAUCCCUCGGCUCAACCGCGGAACUGCAUUUGAAACUGUUUUUCUUGCGUACCGGAGAGGUCAUCGGAAUUCCUUGUGUAGCGGUGAAAUGCGUCGAUAUAUGGAAGAACCCCGGUGGC